rnacentral:ncRNA from 1 species
GCCAACAUAUUAUUUCUAGUGCUAUUAAUUCAUGAGUUAUGGUCAAAAUUGUCAAGGCGGCUUGCAAAUUAGGCCAAGGAAUGGUACAUAUACCCUAGAACGCUAUCAGCAGUCAGAUGUUUGAUACCGACGGUUCGGGCAACGGUCGCUCGCGGCUCGCGCUCGGCCGGCGGUGUAGUGUGACCUGAUAAUACGUCAACCCAUCGUGGUUGACUUCUGCUUAAUAGGACAAUUUGUGUUCAGCAAAAUGAGAUUGAGCGAUAACAGGUCCGUGAUGCCCUUAGAUGUUCUGGGCUGCACGCGCGCUACAAUGU